rnacentral:rRNA from 1 species
CAGUCGUACCGGCGGGUAAUCAGCCUUUCGGGUAUGAUUCUGUGGAGUGUGGGGAGCUAAACACCCUCAUGCCUGCAUAUUCGUGCUCUUGGGUGUACUUGCUCGUGUGGUUGGUUAACAUCAAUUUCGGAUGCCAUAAAAUGAUUGGAGGAAUGUAGCUUUGAUCUCGUAUCGAAGUGUUAUAGCCUCUGGUAGAUGUGACGAUUGGGAUUGAGGAUUGCAACGGAUACCCCUCGGGGCUACCCGUCUGAUCUCUGAAGGUUGCUCCGGUGGCGAAAGCGUGCUUACGGUCAUCGAAAGU